rnacentral:rRNA from 1 species
CUGGUUGAUCCUGCCAGUAGUGAUAUGCUUGUCUCAAAGAUUAAGCCAUGCAUGUAUAAGUUCACACCCUAGUACGGUGAAACCGCAUAUGGCUCAUUAAAUCAGCUAUGAUUUCUUAGAUCUUAAUCUCUUACUUGGAUAACUGAAGUAAUUCUUGAGCUAAUACAUGCCAGAAAAUGUCACGACCCUCGGUUGUGAUGGCUUUAUUAGUACAAAACCAACCACUUUUCGGAGUGCCGGUUUAUUGACUCAGGAUAACUCUCUGAUCGCAUGGCCUUGCGCCAGCGACGUAUCUUUCAAGUGUCUGCCCUAUCAACUUGAUGGCGGGUUAUAUGCCUACCAUGGUUGUCACGGGUAACGGGGAAUCAGGGUUCGAUUCCGGAGAGGGAGCCUUAGAAAUGGCUGCUACAUCUAAGGAUGGCAGCAGGCGCGCAACUUACCCACUGUUAGUGUACAGCGAGGUAGUGACGGAAAAUAACAAUACAGAACUCUUAUGAGGCUCUGUAAUUGGAAUGAGAUAACUUUAAAUCCUUUAUCGAGGAACAAUUGGAGGGCAAGUCUGGUGCCAGCAGCCGCGGUAAUUCCAGCUCCAAUAGCGUAUACUAAAAUUGUUGCAGUUAAAAAGCGCGUAGUUGGAUCUCAGGUUGUGGUUGACUGCAGUAGCAUCUUGUUACUUGUUGUCUUCCCACCUUAUUAGUUAUAGCGGCAGCUUGUGCUCUUAACUGAGUGCAGGUUGUGCAUAACAUGUUUACUUUGAAAAAAUUAGAGUGCUCAAAGCAGGCUUUUUUGCUUGUAUACUGUUGCAUGGAAUAAUGGAAUAUGACUCUGCCGCUAUUUUGUUGGUUUUCAGUACUAUAUGCAGAGUAAUGAUUAAAAGGAACAGCACGGGGGCAAAAGUAUGGCCGCGAUAGAGGUGAAAUUCUUGGACCGUGGUCAGACUAACUACUGCGAAAGCAUUUGCCAAGAAUGUUUUCAUUAAUCAAGCACGAAAUUUUGAGGAUCGAAGACGAUCAGAUACCGUCCUAGUUCAAAAUAUAAACUAUGCCAUCUGUCUAUUAGAACGCUUAUAACGGUGUUCUAGCAGACCCUCAGGGAAACCAAGAGAGGUUCUGGGGGGAAUAUGGUCGCAAGUCCGAAACUUAAAGGAAUUGACGGAAGGGCACCACCAGGAGUGGAGCCUGCGGCUUAAUUUGACUCAACACGGGAAAACUCACCCGGCCCGGACACUGUCAGGAUUGACAGAUUGAUAGCUCUUUCAUGAUUCGGUGGAUGGUGGUGCAUGGCCGUUCUUAGUUGGUGGAGUGAUUUGUCUGGUUAAUUCCGAUAACGAACGAGACUCUAGCCUGCUAAAUAGUAUUUCUAUACCUAGUGGUUCGCCACGACGGUAGUAGCAAUAAUACUUCUUAGAGGGAUUGGUGGCAUUUAGUCACAUGAAAUAGAGCAAUAACAGGUCUGUGAUGCCCUUAGAUGUCCGGGGCCGCACGCGCGCUACAAUGAUAGUGGCAGAAAGAUGAUGGUCCGAAAGGACUAUCAAAUCAUUAAUCACUAUCUCGUCAGGGAUCAGGGUUUGUAAUUAUCCCCUGUGAACGAGGAAUUCCCAGUAAGCGCAAGUCAUCAACUUGUGCUGAUUACGUCCCUGCCCUUUGUACACACCGCCCGUCGCUACUACCGAUUGAAUGGUUUAGUGAGGUUACCGGAUCGGUGACACAGCAUGGCAACAUGCCAGUGUUGCUGAGAAAGCAAUCGAACUUGAUCAUUUAGAGGAAGUAAAAGUCGUAACAAGGUUUCCGUAGGUGAACCUGCAGAUGGAUCA